rnacentral:lncRNA from 1 species
GGAAAGAGCAAAAGACCGAAAAGAAAGACUCAAACAGGCAAAAGAGACAUAGUUAGACAUUGGAUGGCUAGUGGUACAAGUACGUUUACCUUUGCGUAUAGCGAUAGGUAAGUCAUCUGUGUUGGCAGGUUGGUCAUCCUCAGAAUCUGCAGAAGAAGAUAACUCGGGUGGAGAACAUGAGGCCGGUUCAACAACAGUCUCUGGAACUGGUGCGGGACGAGGACGACGGGUAUACACUUGUAAGGGUUGAGUAGGAGGAGAAACUAUCGCCGGUAUAGGCAAAGGAGCAGAGUGUAACUUAUUUUGAGAAGUAGUGCUAGUAUGAGGAAAAAAGGAAGAGAUUCAAAGAAGGUGACAUCGGCACAGACAUAGUGACGUUUGGUAAGAGGGUCAAGACAUCUAUACCCUUUCUGUGUUCUAGAAUACCCGAGAAAAACACACUUAAUAGAACGAGGAGAUAACUUAUCUAAGCAAUGUUUUAGUUACCCUAAGUUUCACAUUUGAACAAUUUUGUCCCUUUUAACUUAAUUUGGAGGUGGAAUUAAUUGU